UAUCUGUAAAGUAGAGAGGAGUCCACAGUUACACUAAGUGUUUCAGUGGGAAACUGCCAACACUAGUUUGAUGAAAUUCAUAAUGUCAUUGGUAACAAACUAUAGAGGAAAGAUGUAUAUACUAAAUGACAAGGAGAUGAAUGCUGAAGUUUCCAUGUGCAUUCAAGUGUUUGGUGUUUCUACUCUUCUUCCAUUUGAGAAGACCAUAUAUAUGAUAUUGCUGCCAUUAUAAUGACAUUCUUCAACAAGGAAGAUGCGUCUUUUUAUGGGCAUUGGCACCAUUUACAGGAUCCACAUUUAUGCAAGUCUGUUCUGUAUUUCAUUUAAAUAAAGCCUCCAUAAAAGCUUUGAUCAUUAA
ensembl:lncRNA